rnacentral:rRNA from 1 species
AUUGAACGCUGUCGGCAGGCUUAACACAUGCAAGUCGAGCGCGCGGCGGACGGGUGAGUAAUGUCUGGGAAACUGCCUGAUGGCGGGGGAUAACUACUGGAACCUGUAGCUAAUACCGCAUACCCUCAGAUGUGCCCAGAUGGGAUUAGCUAGUAGGUGGGGUACUGGCUAACCUAGGCGACGAUCCCUAGCUGGUCUGAGAGGAUGACAAGCAAAACUGGAACUGAGACACGGUCCAGACUCCGACGGGAGGCAGCAGGGGGGAAGAGUGCACAAUGGGCGCAAGCCUGAGGCAGCGAGGCCGCGUGUGUGAAGAAGGCCUUCGGGUUGUAAAGCACGUUCAGCGAGGAGGCGUUACUCGCAGAAGAAGCACCGGCUAACUCCGUGCCAGCAGCCGCGGUAAUAC